AUGUCUCUGUCCUCAGGCUAUGUUGUUGUCCCUCGCUGUCCGGUGAUCUUCGAUGGUACUAACUACACCGAGUUCACUGGCUUCAUGCGCAUUCACAUGCGUGGCAUCCGUCUGUGGGGUGUUCUUUCUGGCGAGGUCUGCUGUCCGCCACGUCCAGUUCCUCUGGUGGCCCCUACUCCGCCGACUCUACCGGUUCUUCCUACGGAUGCUAAUCAGGCCGCCAAGGAUGCGGCUAAGCUUGCUGAUGAGGCUGCUGAUCGUGCUUAUGAUGAGAGGGUUUUGGCUUAUGAGGAGGCUCUUCAGACGUAUCAUGGUGCUCUUUCUGUUUACACCCAGUGGCUUGAUGAUGAUGCUCGUGCUGCAGCUGCUCUCACUGCUAGUGUUCUGCCUCAGUUUGCUUCUGAGUUUCUGGGUCUUCCUACUGUCUUUGAGAUGUGGACCCGUCUUCGUCAGCGCUAUGAGCCCUCUGGUGAUGCCUUAUACCUUUCUGUGGUCCGUCAGGAGCAUGCUCUUCAGCAGGGUGACUCUACUAUUGACGACUUCUAUGCACAGAGUUCUGCUAUCUGGCGCCAGCUUGAUUCUCUCCGCAGUGUUGGUUGUCGUACUUGCCCUUGUUGCCAGGCUGUCCAGGCCAAUUUGGAGUUUCAUCGCGUCUACGAGUUCAUGUCUCGGCUCCGUAAGGAGUUUGAGCCUCGGCGUGCUCAGUUGUUUGCUCGUGGCCAUAUUUCUCUCAUGGAGGCGCUUUCUGAGAUUCGUGCUGAGGAGACUCGCUUACAUGGUGUUGGUUUGGUGGAGGUUCCCUCUGUGCUCGCUACUCGGCCUCCUUCCACGCCACCUGCUGCACCGGCCCUCUCUCGCUCGAGUGCUCCGCCGCUCUUGCCCACUCCUUCUGGAGGCUCAGGUCGCUCCCGUCCACAUUGCGACUACUGCAACAAUGAUGGUCAUAUUGAGUCCCAAUGCUACACGAAGAGGAAACACCUGCGCAAGGCGCGAUCAUCAUCUUCAGGGACUUCAUCAUCUACCUCGAUAGCUUCAACCAUUGCUUUGACUGAGCAGGAUAUUCUGAGACUUAAGCGUCUGCUCGCGGCUUCAGGUUCUUCCUCGACGGGUACUGCUGGUUCUGUGACUGAUGCUUCUCUCACUGAGCAACCACCCUCUACAUCGUCAGGACCUUCGCACGCACACUCUGGUUGGGGCUGGACCUCGCCACCGUGA
rnacentral:rRNA from 1 species